rnacentral:lncRNA from 1 species
CUGUUGAGUUGUACAAAUUGUAUAUUUUAGAGAUUAUGCUCUUGUCAGUUGCAUCAUUUGAAACUAUUUUCUUCCAUUCCAUAGGUUGUCUUUUUUUUUUUUUUUUAUGGUUUCCCUUGCUGUGCAAAAGCUUGUAAGUUUGAUUAGGUCCCAUUGGUUUAUUUUUGCUUUUAUUUCUGUUGCCUUGGGAGACUGACCUAAGAAAACAUUUGUAUGGUUGAUGUCAGAGAAUGUUUUGCCUAUGUAAUCUUCUAGGAGUUUGAUGGUGUCUUGUCUUAUGUUUAAGUCUUUAAGCCAUUUUGAGUUUAUUUUUGUGCAUAGUGUGAGGGUGUAUUCUAGUUUCAUUGAUUUAUAAGCAGCUGUCCAAUUUUCCCAGCACCAGUUGCUGAAAAGACUGUCUUUUUCCCAUUUUAUAGUCUAGCCUCUUUUGUCAGAAGAUUAAUCGACUAUAGGUGUCUGGGUUUAUUUCUGGAUUCUUGAUCCUGUUCCCUUGGUCUGUAUUCCUGUUUGGUACCAGUACCACUCUGUCUUGAUUACUGUAGCUUUGUAAUAUUGCCUGAAGUCUGGGAGAGUUAUGCCUCCUGCUUGUUUGUUUGUUUGUUUGUUUGUUUGUUUUUCCUCAUGAUUGCUUUGGCAAUUCUCGGUAUUUUAUGGUUUCAUAUAAAUUUAUGGAUUGUCUGUUCUAGUUCUGUGAAAAAUGUCAUGGGUAAUUUGAUAGGGAUUGCACUGAAUCUGUAGAUCGCUUUGGGUAGUAUGGCCAUUUUAAUGAAAUUAAUUCUUCCAAUCCAGGAGCAUGAAAUAUCUUCCCGUUUCUUUGAACCCUCUCUAAUUUCCUUGAUUAAUGUUUUCUAUUUCUCAGUAUAUAAGUCUUUCACUCCUUAGGUCUAUUCCUAGGUAUUUAAUUUUUGGGGGUGCAAUUUUAAAAGGUAUUGUGUCUUUAUAUUCCUUUUCUAAUAUUUCAUUGUAUACAGAAAUGCAAAUGAUUUCUGAAUGUUAAUCUUGUAUCCUGCUACUUUGCUGAAUUCAUUGAUUAGUUCAAGUAAUUUCAGUCAGAAUGGCCAUCAUUAACAAGUCAACAAAUAACAAAUGCUGGAGAAGGUUUGGAGAAAGGGGUACCCUCCUUCACUAUUGGGGGGAAUGUAAAUUGGUACAACCACUGUGGAAACCAGUAUGAAGGUACCUCCAAAGACUAAACAUAGAAGUACCACAUGACCCAGCAAUCCCACUCCUGGGCAUAUAUCUGGACAAAGCUUUCAUUCAAAAAGACACAUGCACCCAUAUGUUCACUGCAGCACUAUUCACAAUAGUCAAGACAUGGAAACAACCUAAAUGUCCAUUGACAGAGAAAUGAAUUAAGAUGUGGUAUACAUACACAAUGGGAUGGUAAUCAGCCAUAAAAAAAGAACAAAAUAAUGCCAUUUGCAGCCAAAUGGAUGAAGCUACUUACUCUCAUACUAAGUGAAGUUAAGUCAGAAAGAUAAAGACAAAUACCAUAUGACAUCACCUAUGUCUGGAAUCUGAUAUAUGGCACAAAUGAACGUUUCCACAGAAAAGAAUCUCAUGGACUUGGAGAAUCGACUUGCAGUUGGCAAGGGGGAGGGAGUGGGAUGGACUGGGAGUCUGGGAUUAAUAGAUGCAAACUACUGCAUUCAGAAUGGAUAAGCAAUGAGAACCUGCUGUAUAGCAUGGGAACUAUAUCUAGUCACUUGUCAAGGAACAUGAUGGAGGUUAAUGUGAGGAAAAAGAAUAUGACUUUUUUGACGGGUCACUUAGCUGUACAGCAGAAAUUGACAGAACAUUGUAUAUCAACUAUACUAUCUGAGAGACUAUCUCCCCAGGCUCAAGUCCUCUGUAAGUCUGACAAAUAAAACACAAUUCUCAGCUCCUAGGUUCUACUGUUCUGUUUUGUGUUUUCAGUUUCCACCCCCAAACAGAAACAUAAGAAACCUCAUGGAGUAAAAUCGCACAGCUCUUUGUGUUCCAAGGCCACCCUUUCCUUGCUCCCUCUCUUGCUUCUGCUGUCCUUACUUUCCCACAGGGGAGUCCAUUCAUUCCACCCCUGAGAAGCCCAGCCUGCUCCCUUCCCACCUGCUAUACAUGCUGCCUCCUAUGGUGUGUGAUGCAGGUGCCUUCUAUUGCCAUUCUCCCCAUCCAGGAAAUGCUUUCAAGACUUACCUGGGAUCACAGAUCCUCUCUAGGAAUAGACUUAACUUUUAGUACUUUCGAUCCCAACUAGGUCUUCAAAAUUUUGUAGCUUCUACUCCCUACCAAAAACUGAUUAUCUUGGGAGUUCCCAUUGCGGCUUAGUGGAAACAAACUUGAAUAACAUCCAUGAGUAUGCAGGUUCCAUCCCUGGCCUCACUCAGUGGGUUAAGGAUCUGGCAUCACCCUGAGCUGUGGUGUAGGUCAUAGACAUGGCUCAGAUCCCACUUUGCUGUGGCUGUGGUGUAGGCUAGAAGCUAUAGCUCCAACUCAACCCCUAGCCUGGGAACCUCCAUAUGCCUCAGGCGCAACCCAAAAAAAAGCAAAAAAAAAAGAUGAUCUUGGAAUGACACCUCAUUUCUAAUCCCCAUGCUGAAGUUAAUCUGACUAGAAUUUUUUUUCUCUUUUUUGGCAUUCCUUUUGAAAAAUGGAGUUUAUCGCCUGAAUUUCUUCCUAACUGUUAAGUGCCUGUUGCCUAUAAGCUGACCUUCAAAAUAGCAUAUGUCUAGGUUUCGUGGGUGCCAAGACCAUAUCUGGCUGUUUUCUGCUGUAUCCCUAGGACCUCACACAGAGCUCAGUAAAUAUGUCAGAAACAAAUGCAUAGGUGGAUGGCAGUUCCCAACCUGGUAUCCUCAACUACUCUGUCCCAGCCAAGUAGGGAGCCAGUUUGAGUUAUGUUAGAUCUUCUGCUGCCCUUUGUAUGCCCAGAGUUGUGAACGAACCAGCCAAAGUCCUCGGACCUAUGCUUUCAGAGCUUCUUGUGGGCCACUAGGAAUUCUGUCCUAUCUGUCCAACCUCAGGCUCCUUCUGCCUUCUCCUCCUGCUUUAAGUGUCCUGGCCACCCAAUCUCCUCCCAAACAUUGCUUCAUCCUCAAAGACAACACUGCCUAUCAGAGAAAGACAAAUACUAUAUCAUACACUUACAUUGGCAAUCUAAAAAAUAAAACAAAUAGUGAUUAAUACAACAAAAAAGAACCAUACAGAUAUAGAGAACAACUAGUGGUUACCAGUGGAGAGGGAAGGGGCACAGCUGUGGUAGGGAAUUAAGAGGUACAAACUAUCAUGCAUAAAAUAAGUAAGUUGGAAUUCCCAUUGUGGAUCAGCAGGUUUUGAACCCAACUUGUAUCCUUGAGGAUACAGGUUCAUUCCCUGGCUUCGCUCAGUGGUUUAAGGAUCCAGCAUUGCCGUGAGCUAUUGUAGAGGUCACAGAUGUGGCUGUGGUAUAGGCUGGCAGCUACAGCUCUGAUUCGAUCCCUAGCCUGGGAAUUACAUAUGCUGCAGAUGU